rnacentral:lncRNA from 1 species
AUUUUUAUUAAUUUUUACACUCUGUUUUUUUGUUUGUUUUUUAUUUUAGUUUUUGGGGAGAAAAGGUCACAAGUAGCUACACUCCUCUUUUGUUCUUACUAAGCCUUUGAAGCCCAGCACAUAUGAUAGCCUACUUUAUUUCAGACUGUUCACAUUUCAAGGAGUGGGCUGGGGAUGUAGCUGUGUGGUUGAGCAGUUGCCUAGCAGCAAGGCCCUGGGAAGGGAGAGAGAGAGAGAUAGUAAUCUAAGCGGUGGGCACCAGGGUUUUGUUGUUGCUGUUUUUCCGAGCUGGACUCACUGUGUAGCCAACGACUGCCUGGAAUUCCGGGCGCAGGCCGGCCUACGAGCUUGCUGUGCUCUUUAGCCUGCAGCUGGUCCUGCUACACAGAUCUGCAGUUCCAGCUCUGAGCCUCCCUCCUCUAUUCGUUUCCCCUCCCCUCCAUCCUUCCUGUCGCUCCUAUUUCAUGUCUUAUUUUUUGAUUCCUUAGGAAUUGAGACAGACGUUCACCUGCCAACACUCUUCAGCUUCCCACAGAUGUGUCUGAGGAAACCCAAGAACCAGAAACCAACUGAGAAAGGACUUAAGGACUCAUCAGAACCGAGGGUCAGCAGGUCUGGCACUGCAAGCCAGACCAAGGUUGCAAACAGCUCAGGAACGUCCCAGAGUCCCUUCCACCCUGAACACUGGAGAGUAUAGUUUGACGCAGAGCUCAGUGAGGAUUUCGCUGCAUCCAGGAAGGACAGCUCAUUAUUGUGCGAUCUCCCUGCCACCUGGCCCUGCGGCUCGAACUGGGGGUCUUAGGUGUGCUAAACAAAUGUUCUGCCUGCCACUGAGCCUCUUUGUGAAGAAGAGAUAACUGCCAAUGUGCAGGAAGGAGCUGGGAGCUGGGAGAGUUAGUGGUACACAGCAGCUUCCUGACUGCCGUCUUCUGGACUCACCUGGGGCCACUGUCCCUACCAAGUGCCCAAGGACUAGCCUGUGUGCCUGGAGGAAGCAGGGCUUGGAGAGAGGGCUGGGGACAUCUCUCCUCAGGGAACGAAGCUCAAUAGCUGGCUGGCCCUGUGCACUGAGGAAGUCUCCAGCAGUAGAGCCUCCUCCGCAAAACUGUCCUUCCUUCUCUGGCCUGGCAGAGGUGACAAUAGCUAAAACUGAGGUGGCACUUGAAUGUGAUUGAUUUUUUUUUUGAGGGGUGAAGGGAGAGUUACACAGGACAUAAAUUCUUUCUAGUGAUGGGCUUGCUUAAUCCUCACAAAACUCUAAAACAAACAAAAAGAAAUCACGGUUACCCCUAUUUUACACACACGGGGGCAUGAGGAGACGAAGCAAUCUUAUAAAAUCAUGAAGCUAAGAAGAAUUCAAUAGUUCCGACUGUUUGGUUUCUGACCCCGGGACCAGGGACUGAGGUGCGUAUGUUACAUAUCAAAGCAGAUCUGGCCUCCAGGUUCUCCCAGCAUCCCUCAGUCCCUACCUGGCAUAUCUUGUCCUCAACUCUAAUUUUCCAGCACAGGGGCUGGACUGCUUUUCCCCAGAGGCUCUGCCCUGUGUCCUAUAAAAUCCAGACUUCACUCCCCCCCCCCCCCGCCUUCCCCCUUCUCUCUCUGUGUGAACCCUCUUUCUUUCUCUUCCCUCUCCCCCACUUUUCUUUCUGUCUUCCUCUCCACACCUCUCCCUAUGGCAACUCCCCUGGCCUCAAUCCUUGGGGCCAAUGAACUUGCCAGAGAGCAGCUUCCCAAUCAAGCUUUUAAUAUAAUCUAAUCUGGUUUGAAUUCAUUUCACCGGGGCUAACCUGUCAAAAAUCUUUUGUUCUGAUGCGGUUGCUGUUGUUGGUCUUUGAGACAAGGUCUCACACUGUAGCUGUAGCGUAGGCUAGCUUGCACUCACUAUGUAACCCAAACUGGUUUUGAACUUGUAGCCAUCCUCUUCUUGCCUCAGCCCCUGGGUUUCCAGGUGUGAGCCACCACAUGUAACAAAAUGUACCUUUUUAACACUUCUGGGCAGGAAGAAAGGCUGGUCCCUAAAACUCUGUUCUGAACCUGGGCUAGCCUCAAUCUUCUUUGCUCAUGCUGCCUACAAGCAAAAAUCGCACGUUUUCGGUGGGUUCAGUUGGGUGUGGCGGGUCUGAUUGUGUAAAAGCAAAACUCCUUUUCCCACUUUAUGUUUGGAAUGAGAAGGAUGUUUGUUCUCAUCUUAAGCAGUUUGUAA